UUUCCGUAGGUGAACCUGCGGAAGGAUCAUUACUGAGGUAUGCUCGGUGUCGCGCCAGCGCGCCGGUUACCCGCCCAUAUGUCAUCAGUGCUGGCCCCCCUAUCUGCCUUCGGGUGUAUGGGGGACAGGAAAAUUCACUUCGGUCGAAGUGUUGUGUGCUCUCCCUGAGAGGGGAGGGAAUGUGACCGCGACCGGCCGUAUUUUACACUCAUUGUAAGAGCAUGAAGUCUGAAAUGAAAAUGAAAAAUUAAGCAAAACUUUCAACAACGGAUCUCUUGGCUCUGGCAUCGAUGAAGAACGCAGC
rnacentral:misc_RNA from 1 species